AAAAACCCCAUAAAAAUGAAAAGAAAUACACACAGAAGAAGCAUGUGAGGUGACUGGGGAGGGAGGAGGGUCUCAGAGCUUUGGCAGAUUGUGCUAGCACAUUCCCGGGUGACAGGAGCCAGACCUGUCUGCCACUCCGGGGCUGUGAGGGGACAUCUUGACUGGUAAGGGGAUGGAACACAGGCUUCUUCGCUGAGGAAGUGGCAGGCACCUUGAGUCCCUUUAAAUGCAGGGGAGAACCAUUUUAGAGGACCUCUUCCUCCACAGAAAGCUGGAGGCUGGGGGGUGGGGGUGGUUUAGGGCCGCUGAGGGAAAACUGUGCUGGUGGAGACAAAAAGGCCAAGGUGUUUCUCACGUGGUGACAGCCUUACACUGGGCAGAGGACAAAGAUGAAGGCGUGAACCCACAGGAGAAAAACGUGGGCUAAGUAAAAGGGAAUGUCAAGGAAUGGGUUGCAGAUGAAGAGGCUAGAAAUGGCAACAAGGGCCAACCUGUAAGCUGGAAUGAGGGGAGCCAGGAAGCAGGGGUUGGGGGCUGGAUGUGUGAGGACUAUGGGAAGAGGAGGAAGGGCAGAGAGUCCAGGAGGUAGAGAGAGGGGUGCCUUCUGCCCAGGUCCAUCCACCACUGCACAUACAGGAAGAAUAACACACUACUUUUCAGUUCUCGUUUUCCUUUUUUUUUUUUUUUUAAGAUUUUUGUUUGUUUGUUUUUUAAAAAAAAGACUUAAGAUCAGCUACUGGUUACAUCUACAAACCGUAAAGUGCUGCUGUUACCAGUCACUUUACAGAACAGUCCAGAGUGGUCAAAUAUUGACCAAUAAAAUUUCCUUUUUUUUUUCCUUCUGCAUCCUUACUACUCGAUGAGUCACGUGACAGCCUG
rnacentral:lncRNA from 1 species